CGUGACGGAAAAAAUGUCACCAACCGAUAAUUUAUGCUCUCUAUGAACCACAAAUUAAGACAUCGAGGCGGAGAUUUCCUGUUCUUCUUCUUCUUUUUGCUGGCACUCUAAGAGAAUCGGUUCAUGUCGAACUGCUAAAAUAGCUACUGCAAUGGCGAAAGCUGAUACGGCGUGUAUCUCUCAAGUUAUUUCGGCUGGAGAUUCUUAUUCAUCUUUUGUCAAUACGAAUGGAACUGCUAAUAGAGCGAAAUUGGCUAUUUCGUUGCAGAUGCGAUGGUGGAAGCUGAUUUGAGGUGUAUUUCGAGGUUAGAAAUUAACAGCACAAAUUACUUGCUGUUUCUUUUUCUCUUUUGCGGUUUAUUUCGUAGUCUUCGUCUUCUAUGUUUUUUGUUUGUCGAUUUUGUUAGAUAUAAAAAUUGUGCAGUUUAUUUGAUAACUUGUAGGGAGAUAUAGAGCAUGCUCCUAGGUGAGAGUUGUUGUUUCUCUUCAAUUCUUGGAUUGCUUUUCCUGCCAUGGUUGCGAUUUAGAACAUUCAAAAAUUGUGCAGUUUAUUGGAUAACUUGUAGGGAGAUUUAGAACAUGCUCCUAGGUGAGAGUUGUUGUUUCUCUUCAAUUCUUGGAUUGCUUUUCCUACCAUGGUUGCGAUUUAGCCUCUGGCAGUAGAUGCUGCAUGUUCAAAUUUAAUGAUCGGUUUUCCACCUGC